rnacentral:lncRNA from 1 species
ACCCGCCUGCCUACCUACCUGCCUGCCUACAUCACUGACAGCCAGCAACAGGCUUUUCGAACAGAAGCAGAGGCUCAGAGCAAAGAACAUCUCAACCCUUGAAGGGAAUGAAUGGAUCAGCAAAUCGGAACAGAACCAACUAUGGUACUGACAGACUGACAGACAGAGGCGGCUGGGGAAGAGCCUUGCACAAGCCGGAUAGUGUGAUAGGAACCCCAGAGUCCCAUACAUCUGUGAAAGGCAGCGUUUGACCUUAUGUUAGUACAAAACACCCUGAUUCAGAUGCUCAGUUUCCAACCACGAAGGGAAAUUCUGAUGACACCGUAGGGACGGCUCCCUAAGGUGGGUCGCAGUGCAUGGGGCUGCAGAGGCUGAGGCUGGGGAGCCAAGAUCCGGAUGGGGAAGAGGUUCCGCAGGACAUCUGGGAUGGCUGCCAGCAGAAGGGCCGAGGGUGCACUUCUGUGGGUGUGCAUGGAUUCCAGAAGAGGUCAUCAGAUCUCCUGGCAGUUGUAAGCCACCCACAGUGCUGAGACUCCCGACUCCAGCUUAGAACCCAGCCACAGCCCCUUGUCUGUUGCUUUGAGCCACCGAGAUGGCUCAGCAGUUAAUCUCUGGGUAUGUCUAAAAGGGAGAUUCCAGAGGUUUAUCUGAAAUGGGAGGACCCACCUGAAUGUGUCCUACACCAUGCCUUGAAUAAGACAGAGACAGUGAUCUGAGCACCAGCAUCCAUCUCUCCUCCUAAGCACCAGCAUCCAUCUCUUUCUCCUUCCUGACACUGGCUGAAAUGUGACCUCUGGCUUCAUGCAACUGCCGUCAUGCCUUCCCUGCUACGGUGGACUGUAAACACAAACUGUGAGACAAAACAGGCCCUUCCUUUUCUUCCCUUUUCUCUUUUUAAGCAAGAUUUAUUUAUUCUCAUUUUAUAUGUAUUGAUAUUUUGCCUUGCAUAUAUGCCUAAGCACCAGGAAGAUGCAGUACUGGAAGGGGCCAGUAGAUGGCAUCGGCUCCCCUGGAGCUAGAGUUAACAAAUGGUUUUGAGCCACCUUGUGGUUGCUGGGAAUGGAACCCAGCUCCUCUGGAAGAACAAGAGCUCAUAACUGUGGCGCCAUCUCCCCAGCCCCAAACCCUUCCUUAAUCAAAAUGCCUUGGCCGGGUACUUUGUCACAGCAACAAGAAAGGUAACUCAAAGGCUGGUGAGAUGGCUCAACGGGUAAGAGCACUGACUGCUCUUCCGAAGGUCUUGAGUUCAAAUCCUAGCGACCACAUAGUGGCUCACAACCACCUGUAAUGAGAUCUGAUGCCCUCUUCUGAUGUGUCUGAAAUCAGCUACGGUGUACUUAUGUAUAAUAAUAAAUAAAUUUUUGGGCCUGAGAGAUGACCGGAGCGAGAGGGGCCAACUGGAGUGAGAAGGGCCAACCAGAAUUAGCAGAGGUCCUAAAAAUUCAAUUCCCAACAACCUCAUGAAGGCUCACAACCAUCUGUACAGCUACAGUGUACUCACAUACAUAAAAUAAAUAAAUCUUAAAAAAAAAAGAAGGAAGGAAGGAAGAAAAGUAACUCAAAUAAACUAAACAUAAC